rnacentral:rRNA from 1 species
UACGGAGGGUGCAAGCGUUAUCCGGAUUCACUGGGUUUAAAGGGUGCGUAGGUGGGUUGGUAAGUCAGUGGUGAAAUCCCCGAGCUUAACUUGGGAACUGCCAUUGAUACUAACAGUCUUGAAUACUGUGGAGGUCAGCGGAAUAUGUCAUGUAGCGGUGAAAUGCUUAGAUAUGAUGUAGAACACCGAUUGCGAAGGCAGCUCACUAAAUUGUAACUGACGCUGAGGCACGAAAGCGUGGGGAUCAAACAGG